rnacentral:rRNA from 1 species
GUAGUCCACGCCGUAAACGAUGAAUACUAGAUGCAGCGGGUAUCGACCCCUGCUGUGCCGUAGCUAACGCGUUAAGUAUUCCGCCUGGGGAGUACGGCCGCAAGGCUAAAACUCAAAGAAAUUGACGGGGGCCCGCACAAGCGGUGGAGCAUGUGGUUUAAUUCGAUGCAACGCACAGAACCUCACCUGGGCUUGAAAUCCUCGGACCGCCAUAGAGAUAUGGUUUUCUUCUUCGGAAGACUGAGUGACAGGUGCUGCAUGGCUGUCGUCAGCUCGUGUCGUGAGAUGUCAGGUUAAGUCCUAUAACGAGCGCAACCCUUAUCGUUAGUUGCCAGCGGGUCAUGCCGGGGACUCUAACGAAACUGCCGGUGUAAACCGAGAGGAAGGUGGGGAUGACGUCAAAUCAGCACGGCCCUUAUGGGCUGGGCUACACACGUGCUACAAUGGCCGGUACAGAGGGCAGCCAACCCGCGAGGGGGAGCCAAUCUCAGAAAACCGGUCGUAGUCCGGAUUGCAGUCUGCAACUCGACUGCAUGAAGUCGGAAUCGCUAGUAAUCGCGAAUCAGCAUGUCGCGGUGAAUACGUUCCCGGGCCUUGUACACACCGCCCGUCACACCAUGGGAGUGGGUUGCAAAAGAAGUAGGUAGCUUAACCUUCGGGAGGGCGCUUACCACUUUGUGAUUCAUGACUGGGGUG